rnacentral:rRNA from 1 species
UACGAGGGGGGCAAGCGUUGUUCGGAAUUAUUGGGCGUAAAGGGCGCGUAGGCGGCGCGGUAAGUCGGGUGUGAAAUCUCGGAGCUUAACUCCGAAACUGCAUUCGAUACUGCCGUGCUUGAGGACUGGAGAGGAGACUGGAAUUUACGGUGUAGCGGUGAAAUGCGCAGAUAUCAGGAAGAACACCCGUGGCGAAGGCGGUUCUCUGGGACGGUACUGACGCUGAGACGCGAAAGCGUGGGGAGCGAACAGG